GACGAACGCUGGCGGCGUGCCUAACACAUGCAAGUCGAGCGGAGUUAGAUGGAAGCUUGCUCCUAUCUAACUUAGCGGCGGACGGGUGAGUAACGCGUGAGUAACCUGCCUCUCAGUGUGGAAUAACGUUUCGAAAGGAACGCUAAUACCGCAUAAUGUAAUGAAGUCACAUGGCUUUAUUACCAAAGAUUUAUCGCUGAGAGAUGGACUCGCGUCUGAUUAGCUAGUUGGUAGGGUAACGGCCUACCAAGGCGACGAUCAGUAGCCGAACUGAGAGGGUGAUCGGCCACAUCGGGACGGAGACACGGCCCAGACUCCUACGGGAGGCAGCAGUGGGGGAUAUUGCGCAAUGGGGGAAACCCUGAUGCAGCGACGCCGCGUGGAUGAUGAAGGCCUUCGGGUCGUAAAAUCCUGUCAGAUGGAAAGAAUGGCCUUUGUGCUAAUAUCACAGAGGAUUGACGGUACCAUCAAAGGAAGCACCGGCUAACUCCGUGCCAGCAGCCGCCGUAAUAC
rnacentral:rRNA from 1 species